rnacentral:rRNA from 1 species
UACGUAGGGUGCAAGCGUUAAUCGGAAUUACUGGGCGUAAAGCGCGCGCAGGCGGCCCUUUAAGUCCGUCGGUCAAAUGCCGGGGCUCAACCCCGAGCGUGCCGAGGAUACUGGAGGGCUGGAGACACGUAGAGGCAAGCGGAAUUCCGGGUGUAGCGGUGGAAUGCGUAGAGAUCCGGAAGAACACCGGAGGCGAAGGCGGCUUGCUGGGCGUGAUCUGACGCUGAGGCGCGAAAGCGUGGGGAGCGAACAGG